rnacentral:rRNA from 1 species
UACGGGGGGAGCAAGCGUUGUUCGGAUUUACUGGGCGUAAAGGGCGCGUAGGCGGCGCAACAAGUCACUUGUGAAAUCUCCGGGCUUAACCCGGAGCGGUCAAGUGAUACUGUCGUGCUAGAGUGCGGAAGGGGCAACUGGAAUUCUUGGUGUAGCGGUGAAAUGCGUAGAUAUCAAGAGGAACACCUGAGGCGAAGGCGGGUUGCUAGGCUGACACUGACGCUGAGUGCGCGAAAGCCAGGGGAGCAAACGGG